GCAAUGCAUCGCGACUCUUGUCCGCUGGACUGCAAGGUUUAUGUGGGUAACCUUGGAAACAAUGGCAACAAAACGGAAUUAGAGCGAGCCUUUGGCUACUAUGGACCACUGCGCAGUGUGUGGGUGGCGAGAAAUCCUCCCGGUUUUGCCUUUGUGGAAUUCGAAGAUCCACGAGAUGCAGCUGAUGCAGUAAGAGAACUAGAUGGAAGAACGCUGUGUGGGUGCCGGGUCAGAGUGGAGCUCUCCAACGGGGAGAAGCGGAGUCGGAACCGCGGCCCCCCUCCCUCGUGGGGCCGGCGUCCCCGGGACGACUAUCGCAGGAGGAGUCCUCCCCCUCGGCGCAGAGUCACCAUCAUGUCUCUUCUCACCACCCUCUGAGUCUGCAUUAGCCAGCCAACUAGCCCUUUCAGCGUCAUGUGACCAGCGCGCCCCAUGCAGCUUGGCUGGUGUCGUUUCACAUGACCCAGGCAUGGCCAGUCGUCAGGUUGCACCGCCCUUUGGUUCCCGAGCAUGCUGUUUUCUCUCAGCCUUCUCUCCAACCUUAACCAAAUCGGCAGCAGCCACCUCGACCGCCCACACAUUCCCGGCCAAUCAGCUCAGCUGUUUAUUUACCAAAUGUCUUCACAACAACUACAGCAGCAGCCUUCGGCUAACAAAAAAGCAGGAAAAAUCCACAACACCCCCUUCGCCAACCAACUAAAUACAACGCAACAUCUGGCAAAACCUUUUCAGCAAAUUCUUCUUGGCAGUCAGUCCGGCAGCCUCACCUCACCAUUUCUAGCUUGUUGAAACCAAAGACUUAUCACCACGAAGGAGAAGCUUCUCCCGGAGCCGCAGCAGGUCCCUCUCCAGAGACAGAAGAAGAGAGAGAUCACUCUCACGGGAGAGGAACCACAAGCCUUCUCGCUCCUUUUCCAGGUCUCGCAGUCGCUCCAGGUCAAAUGAGAGGAAAUAGGACUGUGGGAAGGAGCUGUGUACAGGAAGUCACCAGGUCCGAGGCCAGGAGUAUGUACAGAACAUUGUUUUGUUUUGAAACUUCAUAAAGCUUGGUGCAUUUUUAAAAUGUUUUAGCUGUUGAACUUGCUUUGUUCCUUGUAUCUUGUAACAGGUGGCAAAUGUAAAGAUGUGAAUCUGUAUAUGGUUCUGAGCAGAUCCUAUGAUUUGUAUUAUUAAUGGUUUUCCAAUGUACCAUCAGACAUGGUGUGUGUGUGGGUGUGUGUGUGGAAUGGUAAAUGUUCUGUGUCCGUAGCUGGGGGGGUUUGCUGGGGCUCAGCUCUCAAGGAAGUGUGCUGGGAUGGUGUGUUCCUUGUGGAAUUGUGGCCUGGAACAGAGCAGGAUGUGGGUGCUCCAUGGCCCAGUUGCAGGGAAGAGUCAGAGCAGCGAGCCAGUGGCACGGGGAGGGAAGGGCUGGGCUGCAGCUUCAUCCAGCUCCAGUUCUGACUGCAUUACUUGGAACUGAGCUGCUUUAUAUUCCAUGAAUUACAAAUUUUUAGCUGUAGGAUCAGUUAAUUUUGUACUUGGUGUGAGUAGAGUCCUUAAUUAGCCGAUUGUUGAUUGACCAUCUAUUCCAGAGCCUCUGAAUAGACCAAAUCCACAAGCAGAACUGACACCUGGAGUGGAUGUGUUAAGUGUCUGAUGGUACAUUGUAAACUUUAGGAGUUAAACAUUUCUUUACUGUAAAAGACUUUUCAUGUCACUUGUAAAAUGUCUUUUGUGAGAUCCUUGGGAUUAAAGCUUUGGUUACAACUC